CCUUCGAUAGCUCAGUUGGUAGAGCGGUGGACUGUAGAUAGAAACACGUGCAAUAGAAAUCCAUAGGUCGCUGGUUCAAAUCCGGCUCGAAGGA
rfam:Drosophila persimilis strain MSH-3 cont1.000169, whole genome shotgun sequence.